rnacentral:lncRNA from 1 species
GGCGCGGUGUUUACCCGCGGUGCAUGGUGGGGCGGUCUCCUUCGGCAACCCCGGCCGAACGGCCACCCAGAGGCUGUGCUGAGCUGGCGCAGCGGCAGCAGCAUGAGCCGGACCCUCGCAUCGGCCGUGCCCCUGUCGAGUCCCGACUACUACGAGAGGCUGGGCCAACUCCAGCACGGGCUGCGGGACAGAUUUCCCUGGCGACUGCUGCAUACUUUUGUGCCUUUUGUUUUAGAUGCGUCUGGCAUUUUCUGCUUCUUAGACCAGAGAAGCAUUUUCACAAAGUGAAAAGAAGAGAUUGGACCUGGAAAAGAAACUUUAUGAAUAUAAUCAGUCUGAUACAUGCAGAGUUAAGCUGAAAUAUGUAAAACUAAAGAAUUAUCUGAAGGAAAUAUGUGAAUCUGAAAA